rnacentral:rRNA from 1 species
UGGGGAAUUUUGGACAAUGGGCGAAAGCCUGAUCCAGCAAUGCCGCGUGAGUGAAGAAGGCCUUCGGGUUGUAAAGCUCUUUUGUCAGGGAAGAAACGGUGAGAGCUAAUAUCUUUUGCUAAUGACGGUACCUGAAGAAUAAGCACCGGCUAACUACGUGCCAGCAGCCGCGGUAAUACGUAGGGUGCAAGCGUUAAUCGGAAUUACUGGGCGUAAAGCGUGCGCAGGCGGUUUUGUAAGUCUGAUGUGAAAUCCCCGGGCUCAACCUGGGAAUUGCGAUGGAGACUGCAAGGCUAGAAUCUGGCAGAGGGGGGUAGAAUUCCACGUGUAGCAGUGAAAUGCGUAGAGAUGUGGAGGAACACCGAUGGCGAAGGCAGCCCCCUGGGUCAAGAUUGACGCUCAUGCACGAAAGCGUGGGGAGCAAACAGGAUUAGAUACCCCGGUAGUCCCUGAGCGGGCUGGCAAGGCGCAU